rnacentral:lncRNA from 1 species
AAAUGAUCCUUCCUUCUUUCUAAUCUGUCAACAGCAUGAAGUUGUUAUCUGUCUGGAAGAUCCCCAGUCUCAGCUCUGCCAUGAACUCAGUGGCUGGCCUCAGGCUUAAUUCUUUGGCUUAAUUCAAAUGUCACAUUAGCAACACAGUACUAGUAGCUGAAUUUGGAGAGCAGAAAACAUGCUGCUGGCUAACGUACCUCCGUUCCUUGCUAUGCAUUGAUUUCCUUCUCUCUUUAACUAUUGAUGCAUUGAGCUUACCUAUGGCUUCAGAGUCUCGAAAUAUUGUACAGUGGCUAAGAGGACCUAAGUGCUCACCAAGUGCAAAACAAGCCAGAAAACCUCCAAACACAGCAGGACAUCUUAGCACUGCAGAACUGUCCCCAC